rnacentral:rRNA from 1 species
GACGAACGCUGGCGGGGUGCUUAACACAUGCAAGUCGAACGAUGAAGCCGGAGCUUGCUCUGGUGAAUUAGUGGCGAACGGGUGAGUAACACGUGAGUAACCUGCCCUUGACUCUGGGAUAACUGCGGGAAACUGUAGCUAAUACCGGAUACGACCCUCGGAGGCAUCUCCUGGGGGUGGAAAGAAUUUCGGUCAAGGAUGGACUCGCGGCCUAUCAGCUAGUUGGUGAGGUAAAGGCUCACCAAGGCGAUGACGGGUAGCCGGCCUGAGAGGGUGACCGGCCACACUGGGACUGAGACACGGCCCAGACUCCUACGGGAGGCAGCAGUGGGGAAUGUUGCACAAUGGGCGCAAGCCUGAUGCAGCAACGCCGCGUGAGGGAUGACGGCCUUCGGGUUGUAAACCUCUUUUAGCAGGGAAGAAGCGAAAGUGACGGUACCUGCAGAAAAAGCACCGGCUAACUACGUGCCAGCCGCCGCCGUAA